rnacentral:misc_RNA from 1 species
CAGGAUCAAAAAGUUGAUGUGUGCAUCUCUGGAUUAUAUGAAUUACAUCAACUUUUUGAUCCUGAUGACUUGUUGACGGUUGCUUUUGAUCAAAUUGGUUUUAUGACUACUACUACUAUAUCAAGACAGAGGAAAAAGCAGGAACCAGCGGUCAUGGCAGAGCUUGACCAGAGACUAAGGCGGUUAAAUUCCAUAAACGCGAGUGAUGAACAAUAGUUUUGUGAUGGAAACCUUAUAAUUGUAGUAUAUAUAUAUAUAUACAUGUUGUAUCUCUAUCAGGGCAUGCUGCCCUUAUAGGACAUCACAACCCUUGUGCUCAUAAUGCAAUGAGCUAAACAACAGCUUGAAGAGUCCUGUUGUGUUUAUUUAUGUUGAUAGAUCUUCAAA